rnacentral:rRNA from 1 species
ACGGGGGCAGCAGUGGGGAAUAUUGCACAAUGGGGGAAGCCCUGAUGCAGCGACGCCGCGUGAAGGAAGAAGUAUCUCGGUAUGUAAACUUCUAUCAGCAGGGAAGAUAAUGACGGUACCUGACUAAGAAGCCCCGGCUAACUACGUGCCAGCAGCCGCGGUAAUACGUAGGGGGCAAGCGUUAUCCGGAUUUACUGGGUGUAAAGGGAGCGUAGACGGAGUGGCAAGUCUGGUGUGAAAGGCAAGGGCUCAACCUUUGGACUGCACUGGAAACUGUCAAUCUUGAGUGCCGGAGGGGUAAGCGGAAUUCCUAGUGUAGCGGUGAAAUGCGUAGAUAUUAGGAGGAACACCAGUGGCGAAGGCGGCUUACUGGACGGUAACUGACGUUGAGGCUCGAAAGCGUGGGGAGCAAACAGGAUUAGAUACCCUGGUA